GUCCAGAGUCGAGUCGAGUCGAGUCGAAGUUUGCCGAUUUUCUGCUGCCUGCCAGGGGUGGUUGCGUUGGGACCAGGUAGCAGCAAAGGUCAUCCCUCGCAUCCCUCGCCAGGGCCCAGGGGUCAGCCAUCCCCCAUCCACAAAUGACCAUUUCCAUUCUGGCUUUACAUUACAAAAUGAUGAAAAAUUGAAAUUUUAAAAGAAAAUUAAUCCAGUGGCAUAGGAAUUAGUUAGCUCUAUAAUUCCCCCAACAAAAAUCACAACAAACGAAAGUACGGUUUGAAAGAUAGUAGCAAAAAAAAGAUACGACCCGACGGGAGGGGUUUUUGGUAACGUUUUGGCACAAAGUUGCAAGACUCUGGACCCCUAAGCUGUACAAUAUUUUUGUGUGCAUUUUUAAGGAAAUAUUUAGUGUUCAUUUUCCAAGUUAUGGCAUAGAAAAAUGUUUUACUUUUUUUGGUAUUUCAUCCACGGAGUUCAGUGGGGUAACGUUGCCAAAUUCCGUGCUAAUAAAUAUAUUAUAUUAUAUUUUUGUUGUAUAUAUUGUUAUGAAUAGAAUCUCCUAUUAGAAAUAGUCAGUCUUUGCUCGGAGUUUUUUGAAACAACACACAAAAAACCUUUUCAAAAUAAGGUCUCUCUCUAUAGUAUAAAAACCCUCUAUUUUUAUAUUCCCCACCCG